CUGCGGCCAGUGCCGAUCUAUCUCGGCAUCGGCUAUGCGGUCUUCGGUGCCGUGCUGUCGAUUCUGCUCGUCCGCGACACACGCGACCACGUCCGGCUGGAAGCAUCCGCCCAUUUACAGCAAUCAANNNNNNNNNNNNUUCCGAGAAAUCUUCGCGCUCACGUCGUUCCGCGAUCGCAAUCUCUUCGCCGCCUCGCAAGCUGGCCUCGUUAAUAACCUCAACGACGGCAUGAGCUGGGGCAUCUUCCCGCUAUUCUUUGCCUCCUUCGGCCUUGGCGUCGAGCGCAUCGGCAUUCUCAAGGCGAUCUAUCCCGCGACAUGGGG
rnacentral:misc_RNA from 1 species